CCCUGUUUUGUUUCUUUAAAAAGAAAAAUUAGAAAGACAAUGGUGGAGCAGGAAUAGGGUAGUUGUGAUCUCUAUUUCCUGCUAGAAAAAUGGUAUGGGAUGUUUGUCCUAUCUUAAGAGUUGACUGUUUCCUUGUUGGCAAGCGUCUGUGGAAUGAUCUGAGGUUGGUCAGAAGGAACAGGACCAAUAAGGGUGUCUGUGUCUGUGACAGGAGAUUGGGACUUCUGGAGGUGGCUUCUCUGGAGAUAUCCUGGGUGUAGUAAACACCUGGACUUGACUAGAUGCUGGAACACACAUAUAUAUUUAUUUAUAGAUGAAAAAUAAAAUUAAGUGUGUUUGGAAGAAAAGAAAUAUUUUCAUACAUGUACAUUUCAAACCCAGAGCAAUCCCACCUUUUGGAAUAGGUUAUAAAUGGGAACUUGAGGCAGAUAUACUAAUUUGUAUAUGAGAGAUAGGUCUGAGUGGGUUUCCUGUAGUUUAUAAUGUUACAAAAGAGAUAAUAUAAGUUAACAACAAGAAAAGUCUUUAAGAUAAUCUUUCUGUGAAGAAGAAGGAACAAUUUGUCCUACAGAACAUGUCAUGGAUGACUUAAAACAGUUAGCCAUGACAAAAAGACAGAGAAAACAGUGUCCAAGUCCUAUUUUGAAAGACUUUAGCAAAAAAGGGGUUCCGGAUCGCCCCAGAUUUGGGGGCCUACUUGAGAAGGUGGUAAAGGAAGCAACAUGUUCAUGUUAGUAGGUUGGCUGACUAGAAGGAGCAGAGGAGCUUUUGACAAGCUUGGGUUUAGGCAAAUGUGUGCAACAAAGGAAAUAAAGACUCCCAACUUAGCUACAAGAUCUCUUCCCAAUAAGUGGACAGGGUAUGUUGGCACUACCAGAGAGGAAGGGUUGAGAGGUACAUUCCUAAAUAUGUAACUAACCAGUGGGAUUUGGUGAGUAAGGUGAGGUUGUCUCCUACCGUGACAGUGGGGGAACAUGAGAGAGACAUGGAUCUACAAAACUCCAUUAGGAAAGAGUAAAUGGUCCCCGUGUCCAAAAGGAAGGAGUUAGGACACCCACACACCAUGAGAGUUACCCAGGGCUCCUUGCUGGUGGUGGCAGUCCAGGGAACUCAGGCCCCUUCAGAGUCCAUAGCCAAACCUAGGAGAUCCACUGUAGGGUUAUUUGCAUGUGAUGUCCCCCUGUGCUGUACAAUACGAGGGUAAUUGACAGCCUAAUGUCCAUCUUGAUGGAACCUAAAACAUAGCCCCUUGGCUUGCAGAAGUUAGGGCAAGCCUUUGCCCAGUGACUUUGUUGACCACAUCUGUAGCAGAAGCCUGGUGAUCUCUUAGUCUUAGAAGACCAGGAGUCCCACAGCAAUAGCUGAGGCUGGCCAGACAGCCUUUCCCAGUAUUAGUGUGCAAGCCUUCUUAUCACUCCCAUGGUACACCUAAAAGGCCAACACAAUAACUUCUGUAGAGUUUGAAGCCCCCUGUCCAGCUCUUUUAAGUUUGUCUCUCAUGUUGGUGUAGCUCUGAGGGAAGAAAGUUUAUCAGAAAUUGCUUACCUUCUGAGUUGUCAGGGUCCAAAUAAGUGUACUGUAAUAAAGCCUUUGUAAGUCAUUCUAAAAUUGGGAUGGGUUUUCCUGUUUUUCCUAGAUGACCUCGUGCAAUUUUUAAGAAUACACUGGUUUUAAGACUGUCCUGUAAUGACUGGCAAGGAGAGAGUUUAUGAAUCUACCCGUGGAAGUAUAAUUCCUUUGGGGAUCAUGCUCAGUUACUACCUCAGAUCCAAUUGGGGGGGCAGUGGGAGCAUGCUGGAAAAGACGAUGUGAAAGCAGUUUUUCUUGAGGCUGUGGCAGGCAAAGCACAGGAGCAAAGUCUCUGACACUAAGAUAGCUUGCUUACACAUAGGUCUUAGCAAGAGGAAUUCUUAUCAGAUGCAAGGGACAGGACCAGACUUGCUUAUCCUGCUGCUGUGAAACAGGGUCUGCAGUAGGCAGAGCAUAGAAGCAAGUGUGCAAAGUGUAGGGGUUACACAUGUGUGGGAAAGCAGGUAUCACAGACAGAGUUCCUGGCAGACACAAAGGAUGGGGCCAUAUCUGCUUUUCACAGGGCAACAAAGAUCGCUAGACCUGUGAAUGAGACUAGUAUUAUUAAUUGCCUAUGACAGUGCUGGGG
ensembl:lncRNA